rnacentral:rRNA from 1 species
UACGUAGGGUGCAAGCGUUGUCCGGAAUUAUUGGGCGUAAAGAGCUCGUAGGCGGCUUGUCGCGUCGGCUGUGAAAACCUGGGGCUCAACCCCGGGCCUGCAGCCGAUACGGGCAAGCUAGAAUUCGGUAGGGGAGACUGGAAUUCCUGGUGUAGCGGUGAAAUGCGCAGAUAUCAGGAGGAACACCGGUGGCGAAGGCGGGUCUCUGGGCCGAUAUUGACGCUGGAGGAGCGAAAGCGUGGGGAGCGAACAGG